UACGUAGGGUGCGAGCGUUAAUCGGAAUUACUGGGCGUAAAGCGUGCGCAGGCGGUUCGCUAAGACCGAUGUGAAAUCCCCGGGCUUAACCUGGGAACUGCAUUGGUGACUGGCGGGCUAGAGUGUGGCAGAGGGGGGUAGAAUUCCACGUGUAGCAGUGAAAUGCGUAGAGAUGUGGAGGAAUACCGAUGGCGAAGGCGGCCAUCUGGGACAACACUGACGCUGAAGCACGAAAGCGUGGGGAGCAAACAGG
rnacentral:rRNA from 1 species